rnacentral:rRNA from 1 species
UACGAAGGGGGCUAGCGUUGCUCGGAAUCACUGGGCGUAAAGCGCACGUAGGCGGGUUGCUAAGUCAGGGGUGAAAUCCUGGAGCUCAACUCCAGAACUGCCUUUGAUACUGGCGGCCUUGAGUCCGGGAGAGGUGAGUGGAAUUCCUGGUGUAGCGGUGAAAUGCGCAGAUAUCAGGAAGAACACCCGUGGCGAAGGCGGCUCUCUGGGACGGUACUGACGCUGAGACGCGAAAGCGUGGGGAGCGAACAGG